AGAUUGAACUGAAGAGUUUGAUCCUGGCUCAGAUUGAACGCUGGCGGCAUGCUUUACACAUGCAAGUCGAACGG
rnacentral:rRNA from 2 species